AUUGAACGCUGGCGGCAGGCUUAACACAUGCAAGUCGAGCGGAGAUGAGGUGCUUGCACCUUAUCUUAGCGGCGGACGGGUGAGUAAUGCUUAGGAAUCUGCCUAUUAGUGGGGGACAACAUUCCGAAAGGAAUGCUAAUACCGCAUACGUCCUACGGGAGAAAGCAGGGGAUCUUCGGACCUUGCGCUAAUAGAUGAGCCUAAGUCGGAUUAGCUAGUUGGUGGGGUAAAGGCCUACCAAGGCGACGAUCUGUAGCGGGUCUGAGAGGAUGAUCCGCCACAAUGGGACUGGGACAAGGCCCAGAUUCCUACGGGAGGCAGCAGUGGGGAAUAUUGGACAAUGGGGGGAACCCUGAUCCAGCCAUGCCGCGUGUGUGAAGAAGGCCUUAUGGUUGUAAAGCACUUUAAGCGAGGAGGAGGCUACUGAGACUAAUACUCUUGGAUAGUGGACGUUACUCGCAGAAUAAGCACCGGCUAACUCUGUGCCAGCCGCCGCAGUAAUAC
rnacentral:rRNA from 1 species